rnacentral:tRNA from 1 species
CUAAUGUUAGUGUAAAAGAGCACAUUAAGCUUUCUACUUAAAAGGGAUCUUUGUAAGAUCACAUUAGA